UGGUGAUGGGGAUCCCGAUGCUCCUCCUGCUCCCGCGGCUCCUCUCCUCCUCACCUCCGCCUCCUCCACCUCCGCCUCGCAUCGCUGGCCUCAGCCGCCGCCGACCAGCGCAGCAGGGAGGCGAGCAAGUGGAAGUGCAUCCCGUGCAACGUCUGGGAACGGCCUCGCAGGGCUUUGGCACCUUGUGCAGGAAUGAGCGCAUGCAGGUAGAAUGCGAUGGCUCCUGCUGAGCGCGGCAGCGCUGAAUCCUGCAGCCCAGCGAAGAGCAGCUGGUUAAGGUGGAAUGUGAAAAUCAGUCACAAGAUAAACAGGUUGCAACGUUAAGCGCUCUCCGAGGGAAAGGCGGCGUGCAGCAUAUGUUCUUACUUUGGAAGAUAUUUAAGAAAGGGGAAAAAAAAAAAAAAAUCUCAGCCCUUUAAUAGACCCUUUACUGGCUUAAGCUAGUGGAGCUGUUAAUUAAUUAAAUAACUAUAUGUGAAUGGCAUCCAUUGGGAAAGAGCCUCACAGCUUCCAGAUGCCAGUUAUUGGCCCCAUUACAGGCCUAAAACUAUUACAGUAAAUCAUUACAUGCUCCGAGAUGAACUGGCACACGAUUGCUGGGAGGAAGGACGGAGCUAUUCUCACUUGUGCCAUUUUGUGUCAGUUUUUAUCUAGUGAGAUUAAUUAGGACUUUUAGAAGUGCAAGUCAGAACUAUAAAAUAUUAAAGGAUAUUCCAUCAAUGGGAUGGAGACAUGCUUAAGCAGAGCUUUUAAAACUUUUGGAUGUUGACGGAUAGAUAGAAAUUGGAAGAGAUAAUGAGCAACAUCUGAUUUUGAUUUAUAUAUAUUUUUAGAAGGUCAGAUUUAUAGUGAGUGGGGCUGCACUGAGCCUCCUCUGUCUGCUGGGGGAGUACUCAGAGGAGGACAUUAAAGUUUAUCACCGGAGUUCAGGUGCCAGGUAAGCAAACAGUUUCUGAGGCCAAAACCAAUCAUUUAAAGCAGUUAUUCCAGAUACAAAAUCAACCAGAAAGUAUUAAAUAACCUCAUGGCCUGGAUCCCCAGCUGGGAGGGGAGCGCUUCCUGACACUGGAUGCCAGCCUAAAAUCUAUGAUCUGGCCUAGAAGGGGCCUUUUUUCCCCUUUCUUAAUUAAUAAACUGUACUUUUUUUCACCCUAAA